rnacentral:rRNA from 1 species
UGGCGAACGGGUGAGUAACACGUGAGUAACCUGCCCUUGACUUUGGGAUAACUUCAGGAAACUGGGGCUAAUGCCGGAUAGGAGCUCCUGCUGCAUGGUGGGGGUUGGAAAGUUUCGGCGGUUGGGGAUGGACUCGCGGCUUAUCAGCUUGUUGGUGGGGUAGUGGCUUACCAAGGCUUUGACGGGUAGCCGGCCUGAGAGGGUGACCGGCCACAUUGGGACUGAGAUACGGCCCAG